AUUAUAGGGUUUUGGUAACCCAGGUUAGUAUCUAAGAUAGAUACAGGGUAUCUCAGGUAGAUACAGGUUUUUGAGACCAUAAGAGGUCUCUGGUUUAUUAAGUCUAUAGGUGUUCUGAGCAGCACGGUUUGUAGAUCUUUAAGUAUAACCCAAACUUCUCUUUCUCCCGGUCACCUUUGUUUGUCUUAAGUGUUUUUUGUGGGUGAUUGAUUGUCUAUAUUGGGGACACACUUUGGUAAGUUAGUAGUGUCCCCACUCUGAAUCAGCAGUAUGGGAAAUGUGAGUUCAUGUCCUGAGUGACCAAUAUAUGUACAUGUAUAUGUGUGUGUAUGUAUAUAUGUGUAUAUGUAUGUAUAUAUGUGUGUGUAUAUGUAUAUGUGUAUAUAUAAGAUAGCAGUACUUUUAAACAAA
rnacentral:lncRNA from 1 species